rnacentral:rRNA from 1 species
UCCAGAGGUCUCAAGCGUUGUUCGGAUUCAUUGGGCGUAAAGGGUGUGUAGGUGGCGCCGUAAGUCGGGUGUGAAAUUUCGGAGCUUAACUCCGAAACUGCAUUCGAUACUGCGGUGCUUGAGGACUGGAGAGGAGACUGGAAUUCAUGGUGUAGCAGUGAAAUGCGUAGAGAUCAUGAGGAAGACCAGUGGCGAAGGCGGGUCUCUGGACAGUUCCUGACACUGAGACACGAAGGCCAGGGGAGCAAACGGG